rnacentral:tRNA from 1 species
AAGACACUAGUAAAACUAGACAUUACCCUUCCUUGUCGAGGAAGCAUUGUAGGUUAAAGCCCUGCGUGUCUUG